CUGAGAGUUCACCCCAGAUCCUAGGACCCUGCAGACUAUGAUUGCAGGUCACCAGCCCCCCGAUACUGAGAGGUCACCCCAGAUCCUAGGACCCUGCAGACUAUGAUUCCAGGUCACCAGCCUCCCGAUACUGAGAGGUCACCCCAGAUCCUAGGACCCUGCAGACUAUGAUUCCAGGUCACCAGCCCCCCGAUACUGAGAGGUCACCCCAGAUCCUAGGACCCUGCAGACUAUGAUUCCAGGUCACCAGCCUCCCGAUACUGAGAGGUCACCCCAGAUCCUAGGACCCUGCAGACUAUGAUUGCAGGUCACCAGCCCCCCGAUACUGAGAGGUCACCCCAGAUCCUAGGACCCUGCAGACUAUGAUUCCAGGUCACCAGCCCCCCGAUACUGAGAGGUCACCCCAGAUCCUAGGACCCUGCAGACUAUGAUUCCAGGUCACCAGCCCCCCGAUACUGAGAGGUCACCCCAGAUCCUAGGACCCUGCAGACUAGGAUUCCAGGUCACCAGCCCCCUGAUACUGAGAGGUCACCCCAGAUCCUGGGACCCUGCAGACUAUGAUUCCAGGUCACCAGCCCCCCGAUACUGAGAGGUCACCCCAGAUCCUAGGACCCUGCAGACUAUGAUUCCAGGUCACCAGCCCCCCGAUACUGAGAGAUCACCCCAGAUCCUAGGACCCUGCAGACUAUGAUUCCAGGUCACCAGCCCCCCGAUACUGAGAGGUCACCCCAGAUCCUAGGACCCUGCAGACUAUGAUUCCAGGUCACCAGCCCCCCGAUACUGAGAGGUCACCGCAGAUCCUGCAGACUAUGAUUCCAGGUCACCAGCCCCCCGAUACUGAGAGGUCACCCCAGAUCCUGGGACCCUGCAGACUAUGAUUCCAGGUCACCAGCCCCCCGAUACUGAGAGGUCACCCCAGAUCCUAGGACCCUGCAGACUAUGAUUCCAGGUCACCAGCCCCCCGAUACUGAGAGGUCACCCCAGAUCCUAGGACCCUGCAGACUAUGAUUCCAGGUCACCAGCCUCCCGAUACUGAGAGGUCACCCCAGAUCCUAGGACCCUGCAGACUAUGAUUCCAGGUCACCAGCCCUCCGAUACUGAGAGGUCACCCCAGAUCCUAGGACCCUGCAGACUAUGAUUCCAGGUCACCAGCCUCCCGAUACUGAGAGGUCACCCCAGAUCCUAGGACCCUGCAGACUAUGAUUGCAGGUCACCAGCCCCCCGAUACUGAGAGGUCACCCCAGAUCCUAGGACCCUGCAGACUAUGAUUCCAGGUCACCAGCCCCCCGAUACUGAGAGGUCACCCCAGAUCCUAGGACCCUGCAGACUAUGAUUCCAGGUCACCAGCCCCCCGAUACUGAGAGGUCACCCCAGAUCCUAGGACCCUGCAGACUAGGAUUCCAGGUCACCAGCCCCCCGAUACUGAGAGGUCACCCCAGAUCCUGGGACCCUGCAGACUAUGAUUCCAGGUCACCAGCCCCCCGAUACUGAGAGGUCACCCCAGAUCCUAGGACCCUGCAGACUAUGAUUCCAGGUCACCAGCCCCCCGAUACUGAGAGAUCACCCCAGAUCCUAGGACCCUGCAGACUAUGAUUCCAGGUCACCAGCCCCCCGAUACUGAGAGGUCACCCCAGAUCCUGCAGACUAUGAUUCCAGGUCACCAGCCCCCCGAUACUGAGAGGUCACCCCAGAUCCUGGGACCCUGCAGACUAUGAUUCCAGGUCACCAGCCCCCCGAUACUGAGAGGUCACCCCAGAUCCUGGGACCCUGCAGACUAUGAUUCCAGGUCACCAGCCCCCCGAUACUGAGAGGUCACCCCAGAUCCUAGGACCCUGCAGACUAUGAUUGCAGGUCACCAGCCCCCCGAUACUGAGAGGUCACCCCAGAUCCUAGGACCCUGCAGACUAUGAUUCCAGGUCACCAGCCCCCCGAUACUGAGAGGUCACCCCAGAUCCUAGGACCCUGCAGACUAUGAUUCCAGGUCACCAGCCCCCCGAUACUGAGAGGUCACCCCAGAUCCUAGGACCCUGCAGACUAGGAUUCCAGGUCACCAGCCCCCCGAUACUGAGAGGUCACCCCAGAUCCU